UUUUGCCUAAUUCAAGCAAAAAAAUCUGCCAAUGGAACAAGUGAAAAUUAUCUUGUAAGAUUUCUUGAAAUAAGACUUUCAAGAGCUAUUGACUAGAAAUAAGUUCUUUACAUCUCAUUGAAAAGUUACUCUUUAGGUGAUUAUGUCUUAUUUUAAGUGUGAUGAGAUAUUUUGACUAGAAAUG